rnacentral:misc_RNA from 1 species
AACGUAGGGGGCAAGCGUUGCCCGGAUUCACUGGGCGUAAAGCGGGUGUAGGCGGUCCGUUAAGUCGAGUGUGAAAUCUCCGAGCUCAACUCGGAAACUGCACCCGAUACUGGCGGACUUGAGGACGGUAGAGGUCGGUGGAAUGUGUGGUGUACCGGUGAAAUGGACAGAUAUCACACAGAACACCAGUGGCGAAGGCGGCCGACUGGGCCGUUCCUGACGCUGAGACCCGAAAGCCAGGGGAGCGAACCGG